rfam:Ornithorhynchus anatinus chromosome X1, whole genome shotgun sequence.
CCCCUCCCAAGAUCACACCUAGAGAGUUUCCAGUAUUUUACCAGGUUCGGCUAUGGGAGGGAGAGUCAAGCAGAGGCCUACCCAUUCCAUUCCUAGCUUGAGCAGUGGCUAGUGAGUAGAAGGCAAUCUGCUACAAAU